CCAUGGAGGAUCACAGGGAUGCAGAGAUCCACCCACAGCCCAUGGAGGAGCCCCACACCAGAGCAGGUGGAUGCUCAAGGAAGGCUGUGAUCCUGUGGGAAGCUUGUGCUGGAUCAGGCUCCUGGCAGGAGCUGUGUCCCCAAGGAGAGAGGAGCCCAGUCUGGAGUAGGUGUGCUGGCAGGACUUAGGAACCCACUGGAACAGUCAGAUCCUGAAGGACUGCACCCUGUGGAGAGGGACACAAGCUGGAUGGAGCAGCUUGUGAAGAACUACUGCUCUCACACUAAGACGAAGAACACUGUGCAAAUGUUCAGCUUUGGAGAAAACUCUGUAUUGCUGGGUUGUUUAUGAAAAAGAGCAAAUAAAGAUAAUCUGCACCCAAAAAGUACAAGCACUAGAAGCCCAUGAUGAGGACCUGGCAGUCAGCACCAGGAAAUAUUUGAACUGGUAAAAUUGAUUUUGAUGCAGAGAAGAAUUAAAAUACUAAAGGUAACCAUCUGUUCCACAAAUUCUUUCCAGUGCUUAACCUUUUUUUUUUCUUUUUUUUUUUAUUAAAAACUAAGCCUCCCACCUAGACUAUGGGAAUCUUCUGCCAACUAAGUGCAUCUGAGUUUUUGGAUUAAUUUGGGGAUUUACUACCAACGAACUUAUUCACUAUUCAUAAAUCAAGUUCCAACUUAAGUUAAUUUCAAGGCUGAUUAUUUUUGGAACAUUUUAUGGUAUAAAUUAUUCAUUACAUAGAUGCAUUGUACCUGUGUGCCAGAAAAUAACAGAGUCUGUGCCAACUCAUUUUUUUAAAAUAUGAUACCUGGGAAGCAAAUAUUAAAACACAUUUGGCAAUACUUCAGCCAGGUGAUAUUGCAAUACACUAAAAGUUCACCCUUUUGUUUUUACCAUCUUGGUAGUGAAACCCCUUUCUGUGCUGUUCUUAAAACAGGGCAUAAGUGGUGUAAAGACUUGUAAAAUUUUCAUAUGGCCUUACAGAUUUGGUUUAUUUUCUCUUGCUCAAUUUUAAGGCAAUCACUCCAGUGACAAUGUUUUACUGCUCCUCACAAACCUAGGAAGACAACAAUGACUUCAAAAUAAUCAAAUAUUAUCCAGUUGCUAUAUUAAAAAACAUCUUUCUUUCUACGUCACACAGGAAACCAAAGUGCUAAUUAAACUCUCGUCAAGAAACUUUAAAAUACAUAAAUAAACACAAAAAUGUCUAACUCCAUCAUUCUUUAUGCCCAUAUCAUAACAUAGAUCAUAAUAUUCACAUCUGUAGAAGACAGUUAGUGAAUAUAUACAGUUAGUGAAUUCCACUAUGCAAUUUUUCUGUAAACUACCUUAAAAUACUCCUAAGUUCUGGCUGAAAAAUAUUGCAUAAAAACUGAACAUAUUUUCCCAUUAUAUAAUGUUCUUCUUGAAGCAGCCAGCAGAUUUAUUAGGAGUAUACUUUUAUCAUUUCUCAGCUGCAAUGCUGGGUUCCAUGAUGGCAGUACAUUUGCUUCUAUGUUCUGUCCUCAAAAGAAGGUGAAACAGUCUCUGUGAUUUAAGGUGACAAAAGGAGGGCCAUCCUUUGUCACAAUAUGUAACUGAAGCAAGUCUGAAUUAAUUCAGAAGACCUGUAAAGAUUUUUUUUUCAUAGUUUUAAAAAGUAUUUUAGAUAUAACUAUGUAAAAUUGCAUUGCAUUGAAUGACAAAAUAAGCACAUGCAAAACAUAUUUAGGGCAAGAUUAAGCACUAUAUUACUACUGCAUGCCAACCUCAUCUGUUACAUUCAAAUAGGGCUUUCUUGUGUAUACACACACACUGUCUCCCACUUCAGCUCAGAAAAUUCAGCAUUUUUACACAUUCGGCUAAGGGAUCCAAGUUGGGCAAGAGUAAACAAGGAGAAGAAAUUACCAAACAUUUGAAAAUGUUAAUUUUGCCUAGCACUCAUGCAGCUCUAAAGUGAGAUGAAGAUAAAAUUCAAUUUGUUUGUAACAACUCAACUACUUCAAACAUAAGGUCAAACUCCUUUUUUCCCCAGUUCUGAAAUGACUGCUUUAGUUCUCAUGCCUUGAAAACCUUAAAGACAGACUUUCUCCUAAUUCUCAACCCAAAUUAAUCCCUUUUAGUGACCCCCAACAGCUAAAUCAGAAAAGGCAGGGGUCUUAUGAAAGAAAAUUAAAAAAUCAUAGCAUGAAGUGAUUAAAGGCUGCAAAGUCACACAUAGCCAAAAAAGCACUUAAAGCACUGCACGCCACCUCAACUUCAGUAUUUCCUACAUUUUGGGAGGUUAACAUUACAUCUUUGGGUUCAUUGUUUAAUUUUCAACACACUUGUGUGAAACUACAUGUGUGAAGAAAUGCUUCCCACGUCUGGAGAAAAGUCAUAGUGAAAAAGAUAAAAUUCCAUAAACUAUAAUGACAUUGUCACCUGCACAAUGCAAGAGUAGAUCAGACACUUUUGCACUCCUCACAGACUUUCUUAAUCACCAACCUUGUUUCUGAUUAGAAUAAAAUUCCAUGGACUACAAGAA